GAUGAAGAACGCAGCGAAAUGCGAUAAGUAAUGCGAAUUGCAGAAUUCAGUGAAUCAUCGAAUCUUUGAACGCACCUUGCGCCCUUUGGCUAUUCCGAAGGGCAUGCCUGUUUGAGUAUCAUGAACACCUCAACUCUCAUGGCUUGCCAUGAUGAGCUUGGACUUUUGGGGGUCUUGCUGGCCUGUGGUCAGCUCCUCUCAAAUGAAUUAGCCUGCCAGUGUUUGGUGGCAUCACAGGUGUGAUAACUAUCUACGCUUGUGGUUUUCCACCAGGUAACCUUCAGUGAUGAAGGUUCGCUGGGGCUCAUAAACGUCUCUCCUCAGUGAGGGCAGCUCUUUGAACGUUUGAUCUCAAAUCAGGUAGGACUACCCGCUGAACUUAAGCAUAUCAAUAAGCGGAGGA
rnacentral:misc_RNA from 1 species